rnacentral:rRNA from 1 species
GGGUUGUGAGGUUAAGCGACUAAGCGUACACGGUGGAUGCCCUGGCAGUCAGAGGCGAUGAAGGACGUGCUAAUCUGCGAUAAGCGUCGGUAAGGUGAUAUGAACCGUUAUAACCGGCGAUUUCCGAAUGGGGAAACCCAGUGUGAUUCGUCACACUAUCAUUAACUGAAUCCAUAGGUUAAUGAGGCGAACCGGGGGAACUGAAACAUCUAAGUACCCCGAGGAAAAGAAAUCAACCGAGAUUCCCCCAGUAGCGGCGAGCGAACGGGGAGGAGCCCAGAGCCUGAAUCAGUGUGUGUGUUAGUGGAAGCGUCUGGAAAGGCGUGCGAUACAGGGUGACAGCCCCGUACACAAAAAUGCACAUACUGUGAGCUCGAUGAGUAGGGCGGGACACGUGGUAUCCUGUCUGAAUAUGGGGGGACCAUCCUCCAAGGCUAAAUACUCCUGACUGACCGAUAGUGAACCAGUACCGUGAGGGAAAGGCGAAAAGAACCCCGGCGAGGGGAGUGAAAAAGAACCUGAAACCGUGUACGUACAAGCAGUGGGAGCCUCUUAAUGGGGUGACUGCGUACCUUUUGUAUAAUGGGUCAGCGACUUAUAUUCUGUAGCAAGGUUAACCGAAUAGGGGAGCCGAAGGGAAACCGAGUCUUAACUGGGCGUUAAGUUGCAGGGUAUAGACCCGAAACCCGGUGAUCUAGCCAUGGGCAGGUUGAAGGUUGGGUAACACUAACUGGAGGACCGAACCGACUAAUGUUGAAAAAUUAGCGGAUGACUUGUGGCUGGGGGUGAAAGGCCAAUCAAACCGGGAGAUAGCUGGUUCUCCCCGAAAGCUAUUUAGGUAGCGCCUCGUGAAUUCAUCUCCGGGGGUAGAGCACUGUUUCGGCAAGGGGGUCAUCCCGACUUACCAACCCGAUGCAAACUGCGAAUACCGGAGAAUGUUAUCACGGGAGACACACGGCGGGUGCUAACGUCCGUCGUGAAGAGGGAAACAACCCAGACCGCCAGCUAAGGUCCCAAAGUCAUGGUUAAGUGGGAAACGAUGUGGGAAGGCCCAGACAGCCAGGAUGUUGGCUUAGAAGCAGCCAUCAUUUAAAGAAAGCGUAAUAGCUCACUGGUCGAGUCGGCCUGCGCGGAAGAUGUAACGGGGCUAAACCAUGCACCGAAGCUGCGGCAGCGACACUAUGUGUUGUUGGGUAGGGGAGCGUUCUGUAAGCCUGUGAAGGUGUACUGUGAGGUAUGCUGGAGGUAUCAGAAGUGCGAAUGCUGACAUAAGUAACGAUAAAGCGGGUGAAAAGCCCGCUCGCCGGAAGACCAAGGGUUCCUGUCCAACGUUAAUCGGGGCAGGGUGAGUCGACCCCUAAGGCGAGGCCGAAAGGCGUAGUCGAUGGGAAACAGGUUAAUAUUCCUGUACUUGGUGUUACUGCGAAGGGGGGACGGAGAAGGCUAUGUUGGCCGGGCGACGGUUGUCCCGGUUUAAGCGUGUAGGCUGGUUUUCCAGGCAAAUCCGGAAAAUCAAGGCUGAGGCGUGAUGACGAGGCACUACGGUGCUGAAGCAACAAAUGCCCUGCUUCCAGGAAAAGCCUCUAAGCAUCAGGUAACAUCAAAUCGUACCCCAAACCGACACAGGUGGUCAGGUAGAGAAUACCAAGGCGCUUGAGAGAACUCGGGUGAAGGAACUAGGCAAAAUGGUGCCGUAACUUCGGGAGAAGGCACGCUGAUAUGUAGGUGAAGUCCCUCGCGGAUGGAGCUGAAAUCAGUCGAAGAUACCAGCUGGCUGCAACUGUUUAUUAAAAACACAGCACUGUGCAAACACGAAAGUGGACGUAUACGGUGUGACGCCUGCCCGGUGCCGGAAGGUUAAUUGAUGGGGUUAGCGGUAACGCGAAGCUCUUGAUCGAAGCCCCGGUAAACGGCGGCCGUAACUAUAACGGUCCUAAGGUAGCGAAAUUCCUUGUCGGGUAAGUUCCGACCUGCACGAAUGGCGUAAUGAUGGCCAGGCUGUCUCCACCCGAGACUCAGUGAAAUUGAACUCGCUGUGAAGAUGCAGUGUACCCGCGGCAAGACGGAAAGACCCCGUGAACCUUUACUAUAGCUUGACACUGAACAUUGAGCCUUGAUGUGUAGGAUAGGUGGGAGGCUUUGAAGUGUGGACGCCAGUCUGCAUGGAGCCGGCCUUGAAAUACCACCCUUUAAUGUUUGAUGUUCUAACGUUGGCCCCUGACCGGGGUUGCGGACAGUGUCUGGUGGGUAGUUUGACUGGGGCGGUCUCCUCCUAAAGAGUAACGGAGGAGCACGAAGGUUGGCUAAUCCUGGUCGGACAUCAGGAGGUUAGUGCAAUGGCAUAAGCCAGCUUGACUGCGAGCGUGACGGCGCGAGCAGGUGCGAAAGCAGGUCAUAGUGAUCCGGUGGUUCUGAAUGGAAGGGCCAUCGCUCAACGGAUAAAAGGUACUCCGGGGAUAACAGGCUGAUACCGCCCAAGAGUUCAUAUCGACGGCGGUGUUUGGCACCUCGAUGUCGGCUCAUCACAUCCUGGGGCUGAAGUAGGUCCCAAGGGUAUGGCUGUUCGCCAUUUAAAGUGGUACGCGAGCUGGGUUUAGAACGUCGUGAGACAGUUCGGUCCCUAUCUGCCGUGGGCGCUGGAGAACUGAGGGGGGCUGCUCCUAGUACGAGAGGACCGGAGUGGACGCAUCACUGGUGUUCGGGUUGUCAUGCCAAUGGCACUGCCCGGUAGCUAAAUGCGGAAGAGAUAAGUGCUGAAAGCAUCUAAGCACGAAACUUGCCCCGAGAUGAGUUCUCCCUGACUCCUUGAGAGUCCUGAAGGAACGUUGAAGACGACGACGUUGAUAGGCCGGGUGUGUAAGCGCAGCGAUGCGUUGAGCUAACCGGUACUAAUGAACCGUGAGGCUUAACCUUACAACGCCGAAGRUGUU